CCUACGGGAGGCAGCAGUGGGGAAUUUUGGACAAUGGGCGCAAGCCUGAUCCAGCAAUGCCGCGUGCAGGAUGAAGGCCUUCGGGUUGUAAACUGCUUUUGUACGGAACGAAACGGUCCUUUCUAAUACAGGGGGCUAAUGACGGUACCGUAAGAAUAAGCACCGGCUAACUACGUGCCAGCAGCCGCGGUAAUACGUAGGGUGCGAGCGUUAAUCGGAAUUACUGGGCGUAAAGCGUGCGCAGGCGGUUAUAUAAGACAGAUGUGAAAUCCCCGGGCUCAACCUGGGACCUGCAUUUGUGACUGUAUAGCUAGAGUACGGUAGAGGGGGAUGGAAUUCCGCGUGUAGCAGUGAAAUGCGUAGAUAUGCGGAGGAACACCGAUGGCGAAGGCAAUCCCCUGGGCCUGUACUGACGCUCAUGCACGAAAGCGUGGGGAGCAAACAGGAUUAGAUACCCUGGUAGUCCACGCCCUAAACGAUGUCAACUGGUUGUUGGGUCUUCACUGACUCAGUAACGAAGCUAACGCGUGAAGUUGACCGCCUGGGGGAGGACGGCCGCGAGUAGAACGUACAAANAGAAGUUAGUACGGCGUGAGACGUAGCCGAACGGACGACCGACCGAGGGGAGGGAGGGAG
rnacentral:rRNA from 1 species